UUUGAUCCUGGCUCAGAAUGAACGCUGGCGGCGCGCCUAAUACAUGCAAGUCGAGCGAGAAGACSUAGCAAUACGUUUGUAAAGCGGCGAACGGGUGAGGAAUACAUGGGUAACCUACCCUCGAGUGGGGAAUAACUAGCCGAAAGGUUAGCUAAUACCGCGUACGCUCCUUGGACUUCGGUUCAGGGAGGAAAGCGAUACCGUGGGUAUCGCGCUCUUGGAUGGGCUCAUGUCCUAUCAGCUUGUUGGUGAGGUAACGGCUCACCAAGGCUUCGACGGGUAGCUGGUCUGAGAGGACGAUCAGCCACACUGGCACUGCGACACGGGCCAGACUCCUACGGGAGGCAGCAGUAAGGAAUAUUGCGCAAUGGGCGAAAGCCUGACGCAGCGACGCCGCGUGGGGGAUGAAGGUCUUCGGAUUGUAAACCCCUUUCGGGAGGGAAGAUGGAACGAGCAAUCGUUCGGACGGUACCUCCAGAAGCAGCCACGGCUAACUUCGUGCCAGCAGCCGCGGUAAUACGAAGGUGGCAAGCGUUAUUCGGAUUUACUGGGCGUACAGGGAGCGUAGGCGGUUCGGUAAGCCCUCUGUGAAAUCUUCAGGCUUAACCUGGAAAAGUCGGAGGGGACUGCUGGGCUAGAGGACGGGAGAGGAGCGCGGAAUUCCCGGUGUAGCGGUGAAAUGCGUAGAGAUCGGGAGGAAGGCCGGUGGCGAAGGCGGCGCUCUGGAACGUUUCUGACGCUGAGGCUCGAAAGCGUGGGGAGCAAACAGGAUUAGAUACCCUGGUAGUCCACGCCUUAAACUAUGAAUACUAAGUGUCGGCGGUUUACCGCCGGUGCCGCAGCUAACGCAUUAAGUAUUCCGCCUGGGAAGUACGGCCGCAGGGUUGAAACUCAAAGGAAUUGACGGGGGCUCGCACAAGCGGUGGAGCAUGUGGUUUAAUUCGACGCAACGCGAAGAACYUUACYCAGGCUGGGACAU
rnacentral:rRNA from 1 species